rnacentral:rRNA from 1 species
AUACGUAGGGUGCAAGCGUUAAUCGGAAUUACUGGGCGUAAAGCGUGCGCAGGCGGUUUUGUAAGACAGAGGGGAAAUCCCCGGGCCCAACCUGGGCACUGCCUUUGCGACUGGAAGGCUAGAGUACGGCAGAGGGGGAUGGAAUUCCGCGUGUAGCAGUGAAAUGCGUAGAUAUGCGGAGGAACACCGAUGGCGAAGGCAAUCCCCCGGGCCUGCACUGACGCUCAUGCACGAAAGCGUGGGGAGCAAACGGGAUUGGAUGCCCUGGGAGUCCACGCCCUAAACGAGGUCAACUGGUUGUUGGGUCUUCAGUGACCCAGUAACGAAGCCAACGCGUGAAGGUGACCGCCUGGGGAGUAAGGUCGCAAGCGUGAAACGCAAAGGAAGUCACGGGG